rnacentral:pre_miRNA from 1 species
AUAAUAUUCGCUUCGUACGGAAAUACUUGUCAUAUGAAUGAAUGUAUCUAGAUAUAUUUUUGUUCCAGAUACAUUCAUUUUUAUCAAUUUGUGCGACAAGUAAUUUUGGACGGAGGGAGUAUGCU